rnacentral:lncRNA from 1 species
UUAUUUUAUCUAGCUUAGUAGGGGGAAGAAAUAUGUAUUUCCUUUUCCCUUUUUCUCUUUUGCUUUUUUUGGUUGUUGUUUUGCUUUGUUUUGUUUUAAUAUUUCUAGUCACCUGUCUUUCUCUGCCUCAGUCAUAUAUGAGCAAUUUGCAGUUUGUUUGGAUUUUGGCUCACACGCAGGCAGUUUUGAACCAUUGUCCCUAGUAUUUGUGAUGUCACUUUGGUUUGUGAUGUGGAUCUGGGUGGGUGUUACAUCAUCAGAUUUUAUAGUUAAAUUAGGCUGGAAGGAGUUCUAUUUUGUUGUGCUUGCAGCCUCAGGAACUUGUGAAGCUCUCAUUCCCCCCACCCCCCACCCCUCCCCGAAGGGCUUGGGUGAAUUAGUAAGAUCCUAACGUUCUUAAGAAGCAUGCUUUGCACGCAACUUAGUCAAAUACACAGACCAUAUUUGUGGAUCCAGGUAGGGAGAUAGAUCCUUACAUGUGCAAAAGUGGCCUUCUCCAUGCACAUAAAGAAGGUACUGUUACAUUCUCCAAAGAGCUGCCAAGGUUAGGGACCAGAAAUGAAAGAACACGUUCCUGCAACCCUGGGCACCUCUCCCUACAUUUCUCUCCCCGGGAGACUACACGGUUUCUGGAAUGUGGUUUUAUUUUACAUCCCAUGGCAAAUUCAGUAAUUAGAGCUGUUAGCGGUGUCAAGGGCUUGAAACAGGAACAAAGACACCUCUUCCUGGUAACUGUUGGGCAAUGCCUCACUCCUUAUCAGGUGCUCGUCCCGCUGGUGAUUUUGAGUUUUUAUACACCAAAUGCCAAAGGAGGCUCCCUCCUGAGGGGGAGGAGAGAAAUGAUGGAAAAACAGAGUAUGCGUCUGGCAGGAGCUCCUGGAAUCGCAUGUGUUGCCUGUUUCAUUUUUCUGAGUGUUGUCCCUGGAGUGAAUCAAAGUCUGCAGGCAGACCGCACCGCAGGCCGCGGUGGAACCACCUCCAGGCCAAAGGCAUCUGGACCCACAGACGCUUGGGAGGACAAUGGGGCCCAUUCAGUGGUGAGCCCUGGCCUCACCUCCCGAGAGGCCUCUGCUCAAUGGCCAAGUGACAGUGCUCUGACUCUGAGGAGCGUGCUGAAUCUCCUUCUGCUGGCAUAGAGCUGUUCACAUGGACAGCAGCUGAUACACACUCCAACUCCCAUCAAAUUCUGCCUCCUCUGCCUUCAGCGGAACUCACUUCCGUUGGCUCUUCCCCAGUAGGUAACCUCCAGGCUCCUUAGAACUAACCGAGGGUGAUGCGGCCUGAGCUAUUUCUCCUAUGUCAGUAAGCUUUGUAUUUAUUGAAUGCUUGCCACAGGUCGGGCACUGUUCUAGGCACUUCACAAGCAUGAUCUCACGAAAUGCUACCAACAAUCUUAUGAGUUUGGGCACUGUGGCCAUCCCUACUUUACAGAUGAAGAAACUGAGGCACGAGCUGCUCAAGAUCCAUGCCCCAGAUCCCAAUGCUGGUAACCAAUAAAGGCCGGACUCAACCAAGGUCUACA